AGACCUGGGCACUCCAGGGAGCCGGUGGCGCCCUCGCUCGAGAAGGAGUCGGGAAGAGGAGAGUGGCUUUCGGGAAGAGGAGAGUGGCUUUCGGGAAGCAUCUCCUCUGAGGAAGAGGCGGCGGCGGCGGCGGCAUUUACGGAGAGAAAAAAUUCUCUGAAAAUUCCAUUUGAAACACUGAAAAAACACCAUCUAUUUUCUUUUGGAAAAUGAGGUCUUAGUUCCAGAGGGAGGAAUGUUGCACCAGGAGACACAACAACGAUUCCAUUGAACUGGAAGUUGAGACAACUGCUACCUGGCCACUUUGGGCUCCACCUGCCUCUAAGUCAAGAGACUAAGAAAGGAGUUACAGUGCUGGUUUGGGUGACUGACCUGGACUACCAAGAUGAAAUCAGACUACUACUCCACAAUGGAGUAUUGCUUCUGAGCAAGAAACUCACUUCAAAACAAAAGAAGUGCAAGAAUGGGCUCAUGCUCAUGGAUUUCACUGAUUUCACCAUGUUCCCCACCAAUCUGAAGCAGCUGGCUUGAUAGAAUGAUGGAAUGUUCUUUUGAAGACUGAAUUACAGCACCAGCUAGGUAAUAAUACCUUUCAGGGCUGGAGCAAGAUUCUCCAGAAGGCUCUGAAUCAGUGUCAUUAUGUGGUACUCUUUCUCUGAUAGCCAGGAUAUAUAGGUCUAGGAGUCAAAGAGUGGAAAUGGGAGUGGCAUCACUUACAAUUACCUUUGGUGACCCACUAGCAAAAUUUUUGGUUCCUGUUUCUGCAGCUUUAAUUUCUGUCAGCCUAGAGGUCUUAGUUCCACAGAAACAAAUGCUUCUACCAGGAGACACAACAAUGAUUUCAUUGUGUUGGAUGUUAAGACUGCCACCUGGCCAUUUUGGGUUCCUCAUGCCUUUGAGUCAACAGGCAAGAAGAAAGAUGUGGUGUUGGCUGGGAUUAUUAAUCCUGAUGACGAAGGGGAAAUUGAACUAAUCCUCCUCAAUAAAGGGAGAAACAGAAAUAAUGAAGGAUGAAAAUUUGGAGAGGCACUGUUUUUAGUAAUAGUCUUACAUAUGAGGUAAGGCUUAAAGUUGCCAAAAUGGAAUCUGGAAAUAAAAAUCCAUCAGCCUUAUGUCUAAAGUAAAUCAUAAUUGUUCUGAAAAUGAUUAACGCUGGGUGACAGCCAAUGCUCCUUUGAUAAAAUAGUACUUAGUCUGAUUCUACAAUUGAGUAGACAGGAAAUGGCUCACCUUUUGGUAAUGAAUUAACUCUUUCAUACAGGGCUAUAGUAAUUCCAAAACAUAGGUUACAAAAAUGGCUCAGAUGCCAGGAAAUUAAACAGAGUUUCCCAGGAUAGCAGACAAUUGUUUGUUUGUUUUUUCUAUUUCAGUCUCACAUUCCUCUAAGUUUUGCUUUUUCUUCUUAUGAGCAUAUUUGGCAAACCAUGUACCUAUUGUUCAAGGAGCUUCCUACAAUUUCUUUGCUGAUUUGACUGCAUCAGAGUAGAAGUUAGUAAAUAACAACAUGACAGUACUAUUCAGUGACUUUUUACUUUGCAAAUUACACAAAAUAUUUUUAAUAACUUUGUAAUAAGGUGGGAUCCAGGCAGAUCAAAUUCUCAUAAUUUGUCAAAGGUAGCCAUUAAAAUUGUAAUAGUUUAUUGGAAUUUCUUGAUUCCUGGAGUGCAAAAAACUAUUAAGCUGAGUCUCUGUCAUCAUAUAGUGUAUUUAAAUGCUUCUUUUAGACAAUUCUUUGCAUUCCACACCACACUUCCUGUAUGCAAUAUUGCCAAGCUCAGGCUCUUUCUUCCCAUGGGCAUAACUUAAAUGCAUCUAGAAAAUGAUUUGAACUGUAGAGUGCAUAUCAUUUUAAACUGGAGAGAAGAAUAAAGCCUUGGAGACAGCACAGUAUGUGGUUGUAGUAGUCCAAGGUAAAAAUGACCUAAGUGUCAACGAGGGAUUUGAAUGCUAGACUAGCGUGGUUAUUAAUGGACAAAUACUCUUUCCUCAACGAAGGAACUGCUUCUAUUCCUUGUGGUUAUGGGAAUAGGAAAUGGAAAGAGACAACACUUUACUGGCAGACACAUUACUGACCCUGCAGAGGCAGCAAGAAAAAUGAGCAGAGAAAGCUUCAGAGAAGAGAGUCCUGCCAAGCAGAAUAAUUGCUGCAAGAAGUACAGGAUUCCUUGGACAUGGUGGUGACUGGGUUGGAUAACCACCUAUCAGAGUAGAAUGGAUCAACCAAAGGGUUGUUGAAUCAAAUCAUCCUAGAAUGUUGAAAUCACUGGGAAAGAAGCAAAGGCAUCCUGAUUCCUGUCAUUUCUGAGUCAUGGGUAUUUGAGGGAGCCAACCUCUCACUGCACUUGGGAUACACAUUGACAGCGAUUUGCUAGCCAUAAAUCUGGCAUGAUCUUGAAUUCAAAUAUUCAUUCUGUAAUCAGAAAAUGUCUUGAUGUUUUGCUUUCAUAAGUAU
ensembl:lncRNA novel transcript, antisense to EPHA7